AGAGCGAACGCUGGCGGCAGGCCUAACACAUGCAAGUCGAACGGACCCUUCGGGGUUAGUGGCGGACGGGUGAGUAACACGUGGGAACGUGCCUUUUGGUUCGGAAUAGCUCCUGGAAACGGGUGGUAAUGCCGAAUGUGCCCUUCGGGGGAAAGAUUUAUCGCCAUUAGAGCGGCCCGCGUCUGAUUAGCUAGUUGGUGAGGUAAUGGCUCACCAAGGCGACGAUCAGUAGCUGGUCUGAGAGGAUGACCAGCCACAUUGGGACUGAGACACGGCCCAAACUCCUACGGGAGGCAGCAGUGGGGAAUCUUGCGCAAUGGGCGAAAGCCUGACGCAGCCAUGCCGCGUGAAUGAUGAAGGUCUUAGGAUUGUAAAAUUCUUUCACCGGGGACGAUAAUGACGGUACCCGGAGAAGAAGCCCCGGCUAACUUCGUACCAGCAGCCGC
rnacentral:rRNA from 1 species